ACGCUCGACACCUACGGGGGGCAGCAGUGGGGAAUAUUGCACAAUGGGGGAAACCCGUGAUGCAGCGACGCCGCGUGGAGGAAGAAGGUCUUCGGAUUGUAAACUCCUGUUGUUGGGGAAAAGAGGAUGGUACCCAACAAGGAAGUGACGGCUAACUACGUGCCUGCAGCCGCGGUAAUCUGAGCGGGCUGGCAAGGC
rnacentral:rRNA from 1 species